rnacentral:rRNA from 1 species
AAUUUUGGACAAUGGGGGCAACCCUGAUCCAGCUAUCCCGCGUGUGCGAUGAAGGCCUUCGGGUUGUAAAGCACGUUCGGCAGGGAAGAAACGGCGCUGGCUAAUAACUGGAGCUACGGACGGUACCUGCAGCAUAAGCACCGGUUAACUAUGUUCCAGCAGCCGCGGUAAUACGUAGGGUGCAAGCGUUAAUCGGAAUUACUGGGCGUAAAGCGUGCGCAGGCGGUUUGGCAAGAAUGAUGUGAAAUCCCAGGGCUUAACCUUGGAACUGCAUUCUUAACUGCCAGGCUAGAGUAUGUCAGAGGGGGGUAGAAUUCCACGUGUAGCAGUGAAAUGCGUAGAGAUGUGGAGGAAUACCGAUGGCGAAGGCAGCCCCCUGGGAUAAUACUGACGCUCAUGCACGAAAGCGUGGGGAGCAAACAGG